UUCAGACUUGAGUAUGAUAGGGGAAAGCAGAAUUUCUAGUGUAGCGGUGAAAUGCGUAGAUAUUACAAAGAAUACCCAUGGCGAAGGCAGCUUUCUGGAUCAUUACUGACACUGAUGAACGAAAGCAUGGGUAGCGAAGAGGAUUAGAUACCCUGGUAGUCCAUGCCGUAAACGAUGUGUGCUAGACGUUGGAAAUUUAUUUUCAGUGUCGCAGGGAAACCGAUAAACACACCGCCUGGGGAGUACGACCGCAAGGUUAAAACUCAAAUGAAUUGACGGGG
rnacentral:rRNA from 1 species